UACGUAGGGUGCAAGCGUUAAUCGGAAUUACUGGGCGUAAAGCGUGCGCAGGCGGUUGUGCAAGACCGAUGUGAAAUCCCGGGCUUAACCUGGGAAUGGCAUUGGUGACUGCACGGCUAGAGUGUGUCAGAGGGGGUAGAAUUCCACGUGUAGCAGUGAAAUGCGUAGAGAUGAUGGAGGAAUACCGAUGGCGAAGGCAGCCCCCUGGGAUAACACUGACGCUCAUGCACGAAAGCGUGGGGAGCAAACAGG
rnacentral:rRNA from 1 species